UCCUCAGUAGCUCAGUUGGUUAGAGCAUCUGACUGUUAAUCAGAGGGUCACUGGUUCGAGUCCAGUCUGAGGAGCCA
rnacentral:tRNA from 1 species